AACCGCGUACUUUUUGUAGAACGGUCCGGCGAGUUGCGCUGGCUGGCGAGGUUAAGCACCAAAGGUGUGGAGCCGAAGGGAAACCAAGUCUUAAUAGGGCGUUAUAGUCAGUCGGAGCAGACCCGAAACCGGGUGAUCUAUCCAUGUCCAGGUUGAAGUUGCCGUAAAAGGCAAUGGAGGACCGAACCCACAUCCGUUGAAAAGGGUGGGGAUGAGGUGUGGAUAGGGGAGAAAUUCCAAUCGAACCCGGAGAUAGCUGGUUCUCCUCGAAAUAGCUUUAGGGCUAGCCUCAUAUAAGUCUUGCGGAGGUAGAGCACUGAAUUUCCUAGGGGGCGUCAAAGCUUACCGAAGAAUAUCAAACUCCGAAUGCCGUGUAGAUGUUGUAUGGGAGUCAGACUGUACGAGAUAAGUUGGACAGUCAAAAGGGAAAGAGCCCAGACCUGCAGCUAAGGCCCCAAAAUGUGUGUUAAGUGGAAAAGGAUGUGGGAUUUCAAAGACAACUAGGAUGUUGGCUUAGAAGCAGCCAUACAUUCAAAGAGUGCGUAAUAGCUCACUAGUCGAGAGGUCCUGCGCCGAAAAUGUCCGGGGCUGAAACACACUGCCGAAGCUCAGGAAUGAUCCUAGAUCAUUGGUAGAGGAGCAUUGUAUACGGGACGAAGCAGUACCGAUAAGGAGCUGUGGACUGUAUAGAAGAGAGAAUGCCGGAAUGAGUAGCGAGAGGAAGGUGAGAAUCCUUCCGGCCGAAUAUCUAAGGUUUCCAGAGUAAAGCUGAUCUGCUCUGGGUAAGUCGGGGCCUAAGGCCAGGUCGAAAGACGUAACCGAUGGACAACAGGUUGAAAUUCCUGUACCUUAAGUAAACAGAACUGUGGGGACACGUGUGGAGAGCACAAGCCGGAAAUGGAAAAGCCGGUGCAAGCGAGGUAGGAGAUGAAUAGGCAAAUCCGUUCAUCAAUCCGAAGACGUGAUGCGGACCGAAUUAAGAGUAGGGAAGUGUGUGAGCCAUGCGUCAAGAAAAGCCGCUAUUGUUUUACUUAAGCCCGUACCGUAAACCGACACAGGUGGAUGAGGAGAGAAUCCUAAGGCCGACGGGAGAAGCAUUGUUAAGGAACUCGGCAAAAUGACUCCGUAACUUCGGGAGAAGGAGUGCCAGCGAGAGCUGGCCGCAGAGAAUUGGCCCAAGCAACUGUUUAGCAAAAACACAGGUCUAUGCAAAACCGUAAGGUGAAGUAUAUGGGCUGACGCCUGCCCGGUGCUGGAAGGUUAAGAGGAGAGGUUAGCGGUAACGCGAAGCUUUGAAUUUAAGCCCCAGUAAACGGCGGCCGUAACUAUAACGGUCCUAAGGUAGCGAAAUUCCUUGUCGGGUAAGUUCCGACCCGCACGAAAGGCGUAAUGAUUUGGGCACUGUCUCAACAAUGCACCCGGUGAAAUUGAAAUACCAGUGAAGAUGCUGGUUACCUGCGCCAGGACGGAAAGACCCCAUGGAGCUUUACUCCAGCUUGAUACUGGGAUUCGGUAUUGCAUGUACAGGAUAGGUGGGAGGCUAGGAAGUGAUGACGCCAGUUGUCACAGAGCCGCUGUUGGGAUACCACCCUUGCAGUAUUGGAUUUCUAACCAGCGACCAUGAACUGGUCGGGGGACAAUGUCAGGUGGGGAGUUUGACUGGGGCGGUCGCCUCCGAAAGGGUAUCGGAGGCGCUCAAAGGUUCCCUCAGAAUGGACGGAAACCAUUCGAAGAGUGCAAAGGCAGAAGGGAGCUUGACUGCGACACCGACGGGUGGAGCAGGUACGAAAGUAGGACUUAGUGAUCCGGUGGUAUAAAGUGGGAUUG
rnacentral:rRNA from 1 species